GUUUUGCAAAAUUAACAUUACUUAUUUUCCGUAACACAGAAAUAAAUGUUCCUGUUUAUAUAGAAAAGAAUUCAGCCCUUAUGUCAUGAUGGGAACGUGUUGUUGGUCCAAUACAUGUACGUCCUGAACCACGGUGUACUACUCAUCAUUAUCAAUAGAAACAAGUAAGGUGAACCAAUCUGCUUUCUAGACUGGCUCCCUUGUCCUGCAUAGACAUAGUCUUGGAACCAAGACUAGCGUAGACAUGGAACAUAAUCCACUUGCCUGUGAUCUGCCAUCUUUGGAAUGCUUACUUUGCACUCCAUCUCCAGGGUAGCAUUCUUGGUAUGCAGUCCCUUUGCCUAUUCCAAGCAUUCAAUAGCAAAUGUAACAGUAUGGGAAAUACUGGCAACAUAUUGUGCAAAUGAACAUUGCAUUGAAGGAUACUAUUCAUUAAUAAAUGUAGAGGAACCAGUGAAUUAUGAGCACGAGCACCAACUUCCAGACAGAUUCCUGUCCCCUUCUGUUUUAGCUCUAAAAAAUAAAAAUGGAGGGAAGAGAUCUCUGUUUAUCAAGCUGUGGCUCCAGUAGUUAUGCAAACUCUGUUUUCCUUGUUCUGUAUGCAUGUAUGACAUAUACAUCAGUAUUUUACAUCACCGUUUUUAAUCUUGCUGCAUGAAUCUAUUCGUAUAAAUUUUCUAGUGUGGGAUGGCACCAGACUAUUUCAUGAUUGACGUACACUCCAAGCCUUCCGCCCCUCCCCCAACAAAAUCUGGCUUCACACACCUAAGAUUUGUUUCAUUACAAAUUUAAACUUAUUCCUCACAGUAGACAAGAACUAAAUUUGUCAAGAAAUUUUAUUAUCUUUAUUUCCACUCUCAAGUUCCCAAAAUUAAUUUUCUAUGAAUAAAGUCUAUGGAUUUCAGAACUUUCAUUUCCUCAUAUCAAACAAAUCCUCUAAAGCCUCAAAAUUUGGAAAAAAAAGUAGGAUAGACUUCAUUUAAUCAAGGUGUAAGACUUUAUUGCAAAGCAAGAAAAAUUUCUGCAGGGAAAGAAAACAAAAAAAACCCACAGUCACCCACUUCACCAGCAAUCAGUCUGCAAAAUAAAGUCUACCUAAAACAUACACCCCCAACUUGUGUGACAUAGUUUUGUACCCAGUAUUAUGUUCUCAAUGCAGGCACGGAGCCCAUUGCUGUACUGUUCUUAGUUGUACAAAAUAAAUUAGCUCCAUGGUAUGCUUAGGUGUGCUACAUCUGCAUCAGUAUUUUGUAAUCCUUGAGACAAACUCCUUACGAGAAAUGUCCUAUUUUGCUUCCAGUUUUACGACAAUAGAAAUCAGUAGAGCAUCAUUUGACUAUGAGAAUAAUAAAACAGAUUAAAUGAGCAACGUGA